ACGAACGCUGGCGGCAUGCCUCACCCAUGCAAGUCGAACGAGACCUUCGGGUCUAGUGGCGCACGGGUGCGUAACGCGUGGGAACCUGCCCUUAGGUUCGGAAUAACUCCCCGAAAGGGGUGCUAAUACCGGAUAAUGUCUUCGGACCAAAGAUUUAUCGCCUUUGGAUGGGCCCGCGUUGGAUUAGCUAGUUGGUGGGGUAAAAGCCUACCAAGGCGACGAUCCAUAGCUGGUCUGAGAGGAUGAUCAGCCACACUGGGACUGAGACACGGCCCAGACUCCUACGGGAGGCAGCAGUGGGGAAUAUUGGACAAUGGGCGAAAGCCUGAUCCAGCAAUGCCGCGUGAGUGAUGAAGGCCUUAGGGUUGUAAAGCUCUUUUACCCGGGAUGAUAAUGACAGUACCGGGAGAAUAAGCUCCGGCUAACUCCGUG
rnacentral:rRNA from 1 species